CGAGUAGGCGGCACAGUACGGUCUGGGUGGAAUCCCUCGGCUCAACCGAGGAAUUGCCUGGGCAACGGCUGCGCUAGACAGCAUCAGGGGAAGGUGGAACUCCCGGUGGAGCGGUGAAAUGCGUAGAUAUCGGGAGGAACGCCGGUGGCGAAAGCGACCUUCUGGGGUGCUUGUGACGCUGAGGCGCGAAAGCUAGGGGAGCGAACG
rnacentral:rRNA from 1 species